rnacentral:rRNA from 1 species
GACAGAGGGUGCAAACGUUGUUCGGAAUUACUGGGCGUAAAGCGCGUGUAGGCGGCAGGGCAAGUCGGAUGUGAAAUCCCAUGGCUCAACCAUGGAAGUGCACCCGAAACUGCCUCGCUAGAGUCUCGGAGAGGAAGGUGGAAUGCUUGGUGUAGAGGUGAAAUUCGUAGAUAUCAAGCGGAACACCGGUGGCGAAGGCGGCCUUCUGGACGAUGACUGACGCUGAGACGCGAAAGCUAGGGUAGCAAACAGG